rnacentral:rRNA from 1 species
GAGUUUGAUCCUGGCUCAGGAUGAACGCUGGCGGCGUGCUUAACACAUGCAAGUCGAACGAAGCACUUUAUUUGAUUUCCUUCGGGACUGAUUAUUUUGUGACUGAGUGGCGGACGGGUGAGUAACGCGUGGGUAACCUGCCUUGUACAGGGGGAUAACAGUUGGAAACGACUGCUAAUACCGCAUAAGCCCACGACCCGGCAUCGGGUAGAGGGAAAAGGAGCAAUCCGCUUUGAGAUGGCCUCGCGUCCGAUUAGCUAGUUGGUGAGGUAAUGGCUCACCAAGGCGACGAUCAGUAGCCGACCUGAGAGGGUGAUCGGCCACAUUGGGACUGAGACACGGCCCAAACUCCUACGGGAGGCAGCAGUGGGGAAUAUUGCACAAUGGGCGAAAGCCUGAUGCAGCAACGCCGCGUGAGCGAUGAAGGCCUUCGGGUCGUAAAGCUCUGUCCUCAAGGAAGAUAAUGACGGUACUUGAGGAGGAAGCCCCGGCUAACUACGUGCCAGCCGCCGCGGUAAUAC